UACGUAGGGUGCGAGCGUUAAUCGGAAUUACUGGGCGUAAAGGGCGCGCAGGCGGCCGUGUAAGUCCGCUGUGAAAGACCGGGGCUCAACCCCGGGGUGUCAGCGGGGACUGCACGGCUGGAGUCCCGGAGAGGGAGGCGGAAUACCUGGUGUAGCGGUGGAAUGCGUAGAGAUCAGGUGGAACACCGAUGGCGAAGGCAGCCUCCUGGACGGGUACUGACGCUGAGGCGCGAAAGCGUGGGGAGCGAACGGG
rnacentral:rRNA from 1 species